ensembl:lncRNA
CCUCAGGAGACCAGCCUGGUGUUUACCUUUAAUAAUAAAUACCAUUCCGGCCUUGGCUGGCCAGCCAUUGAUUUCGGAAUGCAUCCGUGGCACUAAAUUGUUUAAAAGACUCAAGCCAAUCAGAGUGCUCUCCUCCUGCUCUUGCAGAAUCUGGUUCGAAGUAAAGCAAAAACAUUCCAAUACGAGAAGAGCCUUCCGUUGUGAUCGCUACACUUUCCAUGAAUCCACAACUGUUUUCAUAAACCGGCAGACUGCACGGUUCUUGUUGUUUGUCAUGAACUGAAACUCCCUCCCCCGGGCGGCGAUAUGUUCCGGUGUUCUGCAAAACAACUGGGGGGCGGCACGUGGCUCAGGAGAAUCAGACCCCAGAGAUUGCAGUGUUGUGCGGCCGACCAUAUACCUGUUUAUGGUGGGAUGACCAAACUAAAGUGAACCUGAACUAAACCUGUCCCAAAGAAUCACCGUUACCACCAGCACUCCAAAAACAGCCCCAUGCAAACAGCAUCGGAGUGACCUUUAACCAGGGAAUGCACAGGAAAACUGGCAUGGAUGUUCCCGGGCAUUCUGCACCAAAGGCUCAACAGCUUGGCGCAAGUGUUGACUAGAACCAAGUUUCCAGAAGCUACCUCAUGUGUACACCAUUAUAAAAGAACAUGAUGUCCUCUUGGUUCUGAAGCCCUUGACCUGACACACUGGUGGGCCUAGUGUCCAGGCUGUUUCCAUACGGGCUUGGCGUGUGGGAUGUGUGGAAGAAGUGAUGCUGAAAUUAUAUGAACUAUUUCCAUUGAUUCUCAGCAGAGUUCUCUGCCUCAGUAAAUCUUCUGCUGAAGAUCAACUUCUUGUUAGGCCUUGUUCGUUGGUUUGAAAGUUUCUGUGCCACAGAGUGUAUUACGAUGGGUUCUUUUGAUAUGUUUAAUGUCUGUUGUCAGUCAAUCAACUGUAGGACUAAAUUAACAACACUGGAGAUAUGGUUGGCAUUUGCCCUUGUUGGAUGCAAUACUUUGUCAAGCUGAGAUAGUCGAUUACAUUUACAUUCAGGGC